rnacentral:rRNA from 1 species
UACGUAGGGUGCAAGCGUUGUCCGGAAUUAUUGGGCGUAAAGAGCUUGUAGGCGGUCUGUCGCGUCUGCUGUGAAAAUCCGGGGCUCAACCCCGGACUUGCAGUGGGUACGGGCAGACUAGAGUGUGGUAGGGGAGACUGGAAGUUCCUGGUGGUAGCGGUGAAAUGCGCAGAUAUCAGGAGGACACCGAUGGCGAAGGCAGGUCUCUGGGCCAGCUACUGACGCUGAGAAGCGAAAGCAUGGGGAGCGAACAGG